AACGGGUGAGUAACACGUGGGUGAUCUGCCCUGCACUUCGGGAUAAGCCUGGGAAACUGGGUCUAAUACCGGAUAGGACGAUGGUUUGGAUGCCAUUGUGGAAAGUUUUUCGGUGUGGGAUGAGCUCGCGGCCUAUCAGCCUGUUGGUGGGGUAAUGGCCUACCAAGGCGUCGACGGGUAGCCGGCCUGAGAGGGUGUACGGCCACAUUGGGACUGAGAUACGGCCCAG
rnacentral:rRNA from 1 species